AAUUUCACACCUGGAUAUGCUCACUCAACCAAGAAUACAGAUACAGAGCUUCUGCCCUGAGCCACAUUCAAAUACUGUGCUCUGCUUCCACUCACUUUAACGUUGCUUUACAGACCUGAUCAUUGCUGUACAC